CUGGGCACCAAUGCAUUAUUUUGUCACCCGAAAAUGGAGCUCCAGAAAUCCCAUUACUAUUUCCGCGUCGCGCUCGUCGUUAUCAAUAUUUCAGAAAUUUAAGCUUUAGACUCUAUCUCAGCAGUGAAUCGUCAACCAGUGAGAGCAAAGAAAAUUUCUACAUUGACCUUUGCUAAUAGAUCAAGCUGCGACCUGGAGUACAGACUACAGACUUUGCCUCCACGAUUCGUCGAGCUGGAAAGUCUGGAACUCAUGCGAGAACAUGAUUUUUAGUAUUUGAACACUGACUUUUAGAGCUGUCAACGCUAUGAAAUAAAAACGAAAUUUCUGUGUUGCA